UACGGGGGGGGCAAGCGUUGUUCGGAAUUACUGGGCGUAAAGGGUUCGUAGGUGGCCGACUAAGUCAAACGUGAAAUCCCUCAGCUUAACUGGGGAACUGCGCCUGAUACUGGUCGGCUUGAGUGCAGGAGAGGAACGCGGAAUUCCAGGUGUAGCGGUGAAAUGCGUAGAUAUCUGGAGGAACACCGGUGGCGAAGGCGGCGUUCUGGACUGCAACUGACACUGAUGAACGAAAGCCAGGGGAGCAAACGGG
rnacentral:rRNA from 1 species